GACGAACGCUGGCGGCGUGCUUAACACAUGCAAGUCGAACGGAAAGGCCCUGCUUUUUUGGGGUGCUCGAGUGGCGAACGGGAGAGUAACACGUGAGUAACCUGCCCUUGACUUUGGGAUAACUUCAGGAAACUGGGGCUACUACCGGAUAGUAGCUCCUGCUGCAUGGUGGGGGUUGGAAAGUUUCGGCGGUUGGGGAUGGACUCGCGGCUUAUCAGCUUUUUGGUGGGGUAGUGGCUUACCAAGGCUUUGACGGGUAGCCGGCCUGGGAGGGUGACCGGGCACAUGGGGACUGAGAUACGGACCAGACGCGAACGGGAGGCAGCAGUGGGGAAUAUUGUACAGUGGGCGGAAGCCUAAUGCAGAAACGCCGCGGGUGGGAAGAAGGCCUUCGGGUUGUGAACCGAUUUCGCCUGAGACGAAGCGUGAGUGACGGUAAUGGGUAAAGAAGCACCGGCUAACUACGUG
rnacentral:rRNA from 1 species